GGCACCAUGUCUGCUGGCCUGGUGGCCACAGUAGAAUCUCUUUUCUCUUUCUUCUUUAUUCCCUAAAGUCUUAAAGAUAACUAUUUUCACAAGCAAUAUAUGCAAAUAUAUUCUCACUGGAAAGAAUUUGAAAAAUAGAGAAAUAUGGCUGGGUGCAGUGGCUCAUGCCUGUAAUGCCAGCACCUUGGGAGGCUGAGCUAGGAGGAUUGCUUGAGCUCGGGAGUUUGAGAUCAGCCUGGGCAACAUGGGGAGACCCCAUCUCAACAAAAAAUACAAAAAUUAGCUGGGUGUGGUGGUGUGCACCUGUGGUCCCAGCUACUUGGGAGACUGAGGUGGGAGAAUUGCUUGGGACCAGGAAGUCAAGGUUGCAGUGAGCUGUGAUCACACCACUGCACUCCGGCCUGGGUGACAGGUUUAAACCAGUUUUAAUUGGAUUUCCCUCACUUGCAACAAGGAAGACCUGAAUAAUAUUGCUUCUGUCUGUAUGUCCAAAUACUUUCAUUUUUCAAGAAGCAAUGUUAUACCAACGUCAGAACAAAGGAACACUUUAUGCUGAUCCUU
ensembl:lncRNA novel transcript